rnacentral:rRNA from 1 species
UCGACCGGGGCGACAGCAAUAUGAAGGUCAGGCUGAAGACCUUACCCGAUUAGCUGAGAGGUGGUGCAUGGCCGUCGUCAGUUCGUACUGUGAAGCAUCCUGUUAAGUCAGGCAACGAGCGAGACCCACGUCCACAGUUGCCAGCAUACCCUCCGGGGUGAUGGGUACACUGUGGAGACCGCCGCUGCUAAAGCGGAGGAAGGAGUGGGCAACGGUAGGUCAGUAUGCCCCGAAUCUCCCGGGCUACACGCGGGCUACAAUGGUUGGUACAAUGGGCAUCUACCCCGAAAGGGGAAGGAAAUCUCUUAAAGCCAAUCGUAGUUCGGAUUGAGGGCUGCAACUCGCCCUCAUGAAGCUGGAAUCCGUAGUAAUCGCGUUUCAACAGAACGCGGUGAAUACGUCCCUGCUCCUU